rnacentral:rRNA from 1 species
CCUACGGGUUGCAGCAGUGAGGAAUAUUGGUCAAUGGGCGGAAGCCUGAACCAGCCAAGUCGCGUGAGGGAAUAAGGCCCUACGGGUCGUAAACCUCUUUUGUCGGGGAGCAAGGUCGGGGACGUGUCCCGGCCCGGAGAGUACCCGGAGAAAAAGCAUCGGCUAACUCCUGGCCAGCAGCCGCGGUAAUACGGAGGAUGCGAGCGUUACCCGGAUUUAUUGGGUUUAAAGGGUGCUUAGGCGGGCUUUUAAGUCAGCGGUAAAACUUCGGGCCUCAACCCCGUCCGGCCGUUGAAACUGGGGGCCUUGGGUGGGCGAGAAGAAGGCGGAAUGUGUGGUGUAGCGGUGAAAUGCAUAGAUAUCACGCAGAACCCCGAUUGCGAAGGCAGCCUUCCGGCGCCCUGCUGACGCUGAGGCACGAAAGUGCGGGGAUCGAACAGGAUUAGAUACCCUAGUAGUC